UUUAUUUACGUUUGGAACUAUAUAUUACUUGUCGUUUUGUGUACCCUGGCUGGUCCUCGACAGGGAUUUAAUACACAAAAUAGUUUGGAAAUUUGGGUUAAAUUUCUGGGCGUGACACCAUGCACAAAGAUUGUUCCCUGAUUAAGGACAAGUAUAAUUCCUCAGCCAUAGUUACCACUGUUUACUUUUCAUUUGAAUUUAAUUACUGAAGGUCCUGAUCCCUAUGGUUUAUUAAUUUCAUUGGAGCAUACAGUUCUAGUGUUAGCUCUUUUGACCAUACUUAUCUAUAGUAAAUUAGUAAUUAGUACAGUAUACAUGUUGCUUUCCUAUGAUGUCUUGAGUGUGGAAAGGAAUAUUUUUCUGAUUUGAUCUGACCUUGGCUGUUUUAUUUUAUUGGGACUAGCACAUAUAGGCUGGCUGGCAAUAUGUUUUGAUUUGUUUGUGGUCGUAUGGGAAAUUAAGCUCUGUGGUCGUUGCAUAUCAUGAAAUUAAGCUUCUAAUUCCUCCGUUUCACAAUGUAAGUCAUUCUAACAUUUUCCACGUUCAUAUUGAUGUUAAUGAAUCUAGAUAGAUAUAUAUGUCUAGAUUCAUUAACAUCAAUAUGAAUAUGGGAAAUGCUAGAAUGACUUACAUUGUGAAACAGAGGGAGUAUUUUGUUUCAUAAAAUUCUGAGUGUGUUUCUUUUGUUGUUCUGAAGAAGUAAGAAAAUGAAACCGAGUUCUAGACAAUAUGACCCUUUUCAGAUGAAAAUUGAUUCUGUGUGUCCAUUUGUAUGCUACUGACAACGAUGAGGAUGGGGAAUAGAUGGAUAACAGAAUGACUAUUGAUGACAAACUGAACAGAGUUGGGGCUUCAUUGAAGGGUCUAGCAUUGCAUGUUACUUUAAACGACCCAAGAUUCAUAUGACAAUAUUAGGUUUCUCCAGCCUAUACUCAUUUUACACGAAGAGCCUGGUGAUAAUACCUGAAAGAUGGCUUUUUCAAUGUGGUGGAUGGUGCUUUUGUAGAUCCAGAGAUGAUGCUUUUAUAGAUGUGACGAUGAUUAGUAUUUGACUUUGUUUGUCAGCAACUUGUCUUUUUCUAGUUUGCUACGGUAGGAUGUGUGAAAUUUAUUGUAUUAUGGUCUUUGGGAGCUCAUAUUUUUGUGUAGGAAACUAUUUUGCUUCUUGGGAAUUGUCUGAGCAAUGUAAAAUAUUGUAUUUCUGAUAUCACCACUAUUGUAACUUCAAGGCUUUUUUGCA